CAGAGUAUAGCUAAGUUAGCAUAGCGUUUCCCUUACACUGAAAAGUCGUCCGUGCAAAUCGGACUACCCUGA
rnacentral:tRNA from 1 species